rnacentral:RNase_P_RNA from 2 species
ACAGCUCGAAAGCCGCGAGGCUCACUCCGCACAGGACUAUCCAAUCCUUUCUCGUGAGCGGGCUAAGGUCUGAGCAUUCUAGUGCCCCCGCAGACAGACUCUAGCAGGGUCCGGUGUCAACACGCCGAGCGACGCACCAGAAAAACGGCGGGCACGCUCUUUGAUCCCGAAGAUCCUUCGUGUCAACGGAGGGGAGGGCACGGGCGUGUCGUGCUUUGGGAUACGUCGUGGGGACCGAGCGGGGCGGUGUGUGCGGUGUCCGUAUGGGCGCCGUCGCCGUUUCGUUCUUUAGCUCACUUCGCGGCUCGUGAAUACGCCAUUCAUUUGGUCACGAAACUCGAUUCAGACUACUCUUGGGCUGU